UACGGAGGGUGCGAGCGUUGUCCGGAAUCACUGGGCGUAAAGGGCGCGUAGGCGGCCUGAUAAGUAGGGGGUGAAAUCCUGCGGCUUAACCGCAGGGCUGCCUUCUAAACUGUCAGGCUAGAGCACGGUAGAGGCAGAUGGAAUUCCCGGUGUAGCGGUGGAAUGCGUAGAGAUCGGGAAGAACACCCGUGGCUAAGGCGGUUCUCUAGUACGGUACUGACGCUGAGACGCGAAAGCGUGGGGAGCGAACAGG
rnacentral:rRNA from 1 species